rnacentral:rRNA from 1 species
UACGUAGGGUGCAAGCGUUAUCCGGAAUUAUUGGGCGUAAAGAGCUCGUAGGCGGUUUGUCGCGUCUGCUGUGAAAACCGGAGGCUCAACCUCCGGCCUGCAGUGGGUACGGGCAAACUAGAGUGCGGUAGGGGAGAUUGGAAUUCCUGGUGUAGCGGUGGAAUGCGCAGAUAUCAGGAGGAACACCGAUGGCGAAGGCGGCAUCCUGGACCGAGAUCGACGCUGAGGCGCGAAAGCUAGGGGAGCAAACGGG